UUCUAUGGCUGUGAUGCUUGGUCUAUCGUGGGUCACUGGUUACAUUUUGCUUUUCACCCAUGAACCAACUCUUCACCUCAUCCUGAGCAUAGUUUUUUGCUUCUGCAACACAACACAGGGCAUACAAAUAUUUCUUUUAUUCACUCUGAGAUCCGCAAUUAACUCAAAUUCAGCCAUUCAAAAUGCUAUGGAUGCACCCAACGUUGGCCUUUGCGGGAAAUUAUUCUUUCUAUGGAAAUUUAAGGCACGACAAAACAGAAAUACCUACACAAUCACUGAUCCUGACUCCACCAGGAUGUCUCAGAGUUCGAGUAGAUCAUUGGAUGCUGUGGCUGAUCACCUCAGUAUACAACAAGGUGUGAUAAGGGGGA